CGAAAGAUUAAAGCAGCAAUGCGCUUGGGGAUGGGCUCGCGGCCUAUUAGUUAGUUGGUGAGGUAACGGCUCACCAAGGCGAUGACGGGUAGCCGGUCUGAGAGGAUGUCCGGCCACACUGGAACUGAGACACGGUCCAGACACCUACGGGUGGCAGCAGUCGAGAAUCAUUCACAAUGGGGGAAACCCUGAUGGUGCGACGCCGCGUGGGGGAAUGAAGGUCUUCGGAUUGUAAACCCCUGUCAUGUGGGAGCAAAUUAAAAAGAUAGUACCACAAGAGGAAGAGACGGCUAACUCUGUGCCAGCAGCCGCGGUAAUACAGAGGUCUCAAGCGUUGUUCGGAAUCACUG
rnacentral:rRNA from 1 species